AUUUUGGACAAUGGGGGAAACCCUGAUCCAGCCAUCCCGCGUGUAGGAUGAAGGCCUUCGGGUUGUAAAGUACAUUUGGUAGAGAAGAAAAGGUAGCUCCUAAUACGAGGUACUGCUGACGGUAGCUGCAGAAUAAGCACCGGCUAACUAUGUGCUAGCAGCCGCGGUAAUACGUAGGGUGCAAGCGUUAGUCGGAAUUACUGGGAGUAAAGCGUAUGUAGGCGGUUCGGAAAGGAGGAUGUGAAAUCCAAGGGCUCAACCUUGGAACUGCAUUUUUAACUGCCGAGCUAGAGUAUGUCAGAGGGGGGUAGAAUUCCACGUGUAGCAGUGAAAUGCGUAGAUAUGUGGAGGAAUACCGAUGGCGAAGGCAGCCCCCUGGGAUAAUACUGACGCCCAGACACGAAAGCGUGGGGGGCAAACAG
rnacentral:rRNA from 1 species